GACGAACGCUGGCGGCGUGCCUAAUACAUGCAAGUAGAACGCUGAAGGAGGAGCUUGCUUCUCUGGAUGAGUUGCGAACGGGUGAGUAACGCGUAGGUAACCUGCCUGGUAGCGGGGGAUAACUAUUGGAAACGAUAGCUAAUACCGCAUAAGAGUAGAUGUUGCAUGACAUUUGCUUAAAAGGUGCAAUUGCAUCACUACCAGAUGGACCUGCGUUGUAUUAGCUAGUUGGUGGGGUAACGGCUCACCAAGGCGACGAUACAUAGCCGACCUGAGAGGGGGAUCGGCCACCCUGGGACUGGGACACGGCCCAGACUCCUACGGGAGGCAGCAGUAGGGAAUCUUCGGCAAUGGACGGAAGUCUGACCGAGCAACGCCGCGUGAGUGAAGAAGGUUGUCGGAUCGUAAAGCUCUGUUGUAAGAGAAGAACGAGUGUGAGAGUGGAAAGUUCACACUGUGACGGUAGCUUAACAGAAAGGGACGGCUAACUACGUG
rnacentral:rRNA from 1 species